UCCACCCAUCCAUCCACUCACCCAUUCACACAUCCAUCCAUCCACUCACCCACACACAUCUACCCAUCCACCCCACCCAUCUAGACAUCCACCACCCAUCCAUGUCUCCCUCCAUUCAUCCGUCCAUUCAGCUACCCACUGGUCCUUCCUUUCCUUUUUCCUUACUCCCUCUCUACCUCAUUUCCUCCUCAUUUUCAAUCAUUCAUAAUUUGUUGAGUGCCAACAUGUGCACCUUGUGCUAAGUAAGCUCUGUGACCCUGGUUAAGUUACUGUGCCUCCUUGAACUUGGGUUUUCACAUAUGUAAGUUGAGCAACAAUGAUAUCUCAACUUCACAGAGUUGUUGGGAAGAUUAAAUGAAAUAACUCGCAGGUGAAAUACCUAGUCCACAGUAGAUGCUCUGUAGUGGUGAUUAUCAGGUCUGAGAUUUAGAAGACACCUAAUCUUCUGGAAGCUUUGAUUUUGUUAGGGAGUCUUGGUAUAGGUAGGUAAAGUAGUUGGGGAGGCUUUUUUAAAAAAAAUAAUUUUUAGUUGUGAUGGAUAUAAUACCUUUUUUAAAAUUUAUUUAUUUUUAUGUGGUGCUGAGGAUGGAACCCAGUGCCUCACACGUGCUAGGUAAGUGCUCUACCACUGAGCCCCAGCCCAGCCCAGUUGGAGAGUUUUAACAAGCACACAAUACCCAAAGGCCACUGACAGCGCCUGUGUGCUAACUCUAGGCCUAGGGCUGAGGCAGUGCAAAGUGAGGGUGGGUGAGCAGCUGGGAGAGCUCCUCCCUAGCCAGACUUUCAGGAUUUGGUGUUGCUAAGAGAGAUAAUCAGUCAGAGGACAAAGUCCCAUACCUCCUUCUUCUUUUUUUUUUUUUUUGGUGGUGCUGAGGAUGGAACCCAGGACCUUAUGCAUGCUAGACAGACACCCUACCACUGAUCUAUGCCUCCAGUCCCCCAAGGUGCCAUGUCUUGGUUUUACUUGCAUUUCCAACCCAUCAGCCAUGGCACCUGCCUUUCCCCACAGCCCCCCAAUCAGCAAGAAGCCAUUAGUUAUUACUAAAUUCAGCUAAUGCAGUUAGUCCAGGAGUAACUGUGAAUCUUGACAGAGGUUACUAGAUUCCUUGUAGGGGAGGGUUAAAGGAUUCUGACCUAGUCAAUGAUUAUUAAGUAUUCGUUACUUGCCAAAGGUUAUUAGUUAAUAUAUGCUGGAUUCUUCAUAUUCCUCUGAGGAGGGAUUUUUACAUCCAUUUUCAGAGGAAGAGACUGAGGGUCAGACAGGAGGAAUGGCUUUGCUGUAUAGCUAGUAGCUGUAGAGCCAGGGUUCCAACUCAGGUGCUCUAUUCAUUGCUUUCCCCUCUUUGUCCUCUGUUUUCUCUCAUACUCUCUCCAGGAAAUUUAACACCCCAGGGAAGGAGUGUGAGGAAGCUGUCCAAGACACAGGACCCACAAAAGACGGCUAAGAAGUGCCCUGGAUUCCUGCUUCAUAACAACAUACUGCAAACAGCUCCUGUUGCAUUCAUAGUAAUAGUGACCGCCUCAUAUGCACCAGAUUAUUUAUGCAUGUGGGUGUCCGGGUUAUUCAUUUUCCCUAUUUGACUUGAUGUAUUCAUGUACUUUUGUAUUCAUUUAUUUUGGGGGUACUCAGGAUUGAGCCUGGGGCCCUCUACCACUGAACUAUAUCCUCAGCCCUUUUUAUUUUGAGACAGGGUUCUGCAGAGUUGCCCAGGCUGGCCUCAAGCUUGGGAUCCUCCUGCCUCAGCCUCCUGAGUUGGUGGGAUGACAGGUGUGCCCCACCACAGCCAGCUCUUUUUUUUCUAUUUUCAAUAUGUACAGGAGCGGUAGGCUGGUGGCAGUGUCUGAGGGUCCCCUGGAACCCUGAGACCCAGAAGUUUUUAUGGUGUCUAUGUGACAAAUGAGAAGGCUGGUUCCAGAAUGGGGAAGUGACUUGUCCAAAGUCCUAGCUUUGAGCCCAGGCCCAUGGACCGUGGCCUACCCCCACCCCAGUCAGAGGGAGAAUCCGGGUCAGGAGCCUCCCUCCACGUCCAGUUGCCAAGUGCCAGUCCACAGUCGGGCUUGGUUUGGUCCACUGUGUUUUUUUUUAAAAAGCUUUGAAAAAUCAGAUUUUAUGUUGCUGUGACUUGAAUGUAUGAUCAAAAAUUCAUGUGCUGGGAACUCUGUACCCGUGUGGGGGUGCAGAGGCUUUGGCAGAGUCCUUGUGAAUGGGUUAACUUGGGGAUUAUUGUGGUUGUGGCUUUAUUAUAAAAGCGCUCUCUCUCUCUCUGGACCCCUGGGCCCCAUGUUCCUGCAAUGCUUUCCACCAUGUUUGACGCAGCGCGAUGCCCACACUGGAGCCUGGCUCUGGACUUCAGCCUCUAGAACCACACAUUAGACAAACCUCUCUUCUUUGCAAGUUCCUGAGUCUGUGUCAUCCAGUUGUAGCAACAGGAGACAGACUAGGUCACCAGUUAGACCCAGACUCCAGCUUCUCUUGACAAGAACUGGGCGGCCGGUCAGGCAGCCCGUGGUGGACAGGUUCCUGGGGCUUUGGAAACAUUAUGCAACUGUUAACUGUUGUUAUCAUGGUUUCCUGGUUGUAGGUAUGGUCACAGGCUGCAUUGAGACCAGGAUGGAGCCAGAACAGGAGUUCAUGCCUGAAGGGGCGAGGGAGCAGGGGGGAGGGGGAGCGCUCCCAGGGCCACCUAGAGGGCACCUGAAAAGAGUGACACCCUCAGGAAGUGCCCCAGGUAGGCUCUUCAGGAGGGAUUCCCGAGGGAGGGAGGGAGGUAUGACAGUCAGGAGAGCAUGUGCCAUGUGCCCUGUGUGUUGGUGCCUCUGAGACCUUCCCAUGGGACGUAGUGUGGAGCAGGAGGUGGCGAGAUCCGUGAUCCUGAAGCUGUAGAGGCCCGGGCUGGCAUGUGUUUGCAUUCCUAGUUUUUAACAAAAAAGUUUAACAAAUAAAGAAAACCAUUUGUUUUAAAGUUAAAAAAAAAAAAGCUUAUUGACAGGAGGCAUCACAAUACCAGCCCUUAAAUUACACUACAGAGCUCUAGUAAAAAAAACAGUGUGGUAUUCAGCACAAAAAUACACGUGAAGACCAGCGGUACAGAACAGAAGACCCAGAGACAAACCCACAUACACAGUUAUCUCAUCCUAGACAAAGGAACCAUAAACAUGCACUGGAGCAAAGACGGCCUCUUCAACAAAUGGUGCUGGGAAAACUGGAAAUCCAUAUGUAGCAAAAUGGAAUUAAACCCCUAUCUCUCACCAUGCACAAAACUAAACUUAAAAGUGGAUCAAGGACCUAGGCAUUAGACUAGAGACCCAACAAAUAGAUGAGAAAAUGUCCAACAUCCUCUAGUAGUUAAAAGCAAAUUAAAUCUUCACUGAGAUUUCAUUUCACUCCAGUCAGAAUAACAAUUAUCAAGAAUACAAGAAACAGUCAAUGUUGGCGAGGAUGUGGGAGAAAAUCAAACUUCUUGCUGGUGGGACUGCAAAUUGGUACAACCACUCUGGAAAGCAGUAUGGAGAUUCCUCAGAAACCUUGGAAUGGAACCACCAUUGGACCCAGUUAUCCCACUCUGUGGCAUAUACCCAAUGGAUUUAAAAUCAGUAUAGUAGAGUGACACAUCCAUAUCAAUGUUUAUAGCAGCUCAAUUCACUAUAGCUAAGCUAUAGAACCAACUUAGGUGCCUUUCAACAGGCGAAUAGAGAAAGAAAACGUACUAUAUAUACACAAUGGAAUAUUAUUUGGCCAUAAAGAAGAAUGAAAUUAUGGCAUUCGCUGAAAUGAAUGGAACUAGAGAAUAUUAUACUAAGUGAAAUAAGCCAAUCCUGGAAAACCAAAGGCCAAAUGUUCUUUCUGAUAUGCAGAUGCCAACACACAAUAAGGGGGUAGGAGGGGAGAAGAGAAGUUCUUUAGAAUGAAGGGAAGGAGGGGUGGGAAUGGGAAAGACAGUAGAAUGAACUGGACAUCACUUUCCUGUGUUCACAUAUGAAUGCACAACAAGUGUAACUCCAAAUUAUGUUCAAAGAAUGGGAAGAUCUACAUCAUGUAUAUAGGCUAUUCCAAAAUACACUCUACUGUUAUGCAUAUCUAAAAAGAACAAAUUAAAAGAAAAAGAAACUGUCCCUACUUAUAACCAGCUUUAAAAAAAAAGCUUAUUGAAUAUGGCUAUUGGGGAAGAACAGAAUACGUACAACUGUGCAGUUUGUGUCUGAAGCUAAGUGUUGUUAAAAAAUAAGUCAAAAAUUUAAAGUUAAAAAGCAAAAUGGUUACGGCAGCUAACAUUAAUUUGGAUGACUUUCCCAUAGACUGUGGACAGUGUUGACAGUCUGCCCCUGUCCUGGGCCUUCGCUGCUUGGCACUGUCACUCACCCAGAGUGACUGCCAGGCCUGCAGGCUCUGUUCAUGGCAGGGUCCUCCCUCAGCAGGUGCACCACUUAAGACCCUUUGUGUUGUAUUUCUGCUGUACCUGUUCUGUGUUUAGAGAUGUUUAGACACAGAUCCUCCCCAGGUCUCCCAGUGGCCUCUAGAUUCAGCAUUGCUGUGCCCAAGAGGAGCGCAGGUGAGCCCCGCCUGCCACCUGGUGUGGACAGGGACAGCUCGCCCUGGGGUUGGUGCAAGGAAGCAGUCACUGAGACCUGGUCGGUCGGCUGGCUUCUUGGAAUGCAUGUGCUUCUUGGAAUGUAUGCACAUGGCUAAGUGACAGACUGUAUUUGCAUCUUCUGUCUGUUGUUUGUCCCUUAGGGUGACAAAAGCUUUUCUUUCUGGAACAGCCAAACUCUCCAUCUGGCCUGGUAGGCAGAGGAGUCUGCAGAGGCUUGUCGUGCACAUGUGCGUGUUGGACCGAGAAGCACAGCUGGCAGAGGAAAACCCCUCAGAGCAGGCCACCCCCGCCACGGUGGCAGUGCCUUUGGGGCUGCCUCUGCAGACCUUGAGCCUGCUCUGACCUGGGCAACUGCUGGGCAGCAGGCCUCUCAGUGUCCCCAGCACCCUGGCCUGUCACACGAGCCGGCUCCCCCUGCUCAGCAGCAGACACCUUCAGACCAGAGUGGGGUCACUAAGGAAGGCGUUAUCUUGUCCCAGUUCCCCUCCUGGGCUGCCUGACCCUGCUCUGGACAGCAUAAAAAGUCAGCUCAAUGACGCAGGCAGACUUUAAAGCCUGUUCCGGAUGGCAGCUGGGCUCUGAGCUGUCAAUCAGAGGUGAGCCAGCACACUCGGGCUGCCUGCCAGGGCUCUGCCCAGAGAGGGCAGGGCACCGAAGCUGUGCAGAGCUCCUGCCCAGCUUUCUCUAUUUAUAAUUUCCCCUGAUAAUGGGGCCAUUCAUUCCGGCUGCAGGCCCCUAAUUGCUCUGCAGUAGAGGGAUGACAGCCUGAUCAUUAACUUCACAGAAUCUGAGCUUGGGCUUUGUCAACAGAGUCCAUCUGCUGUCACCAGGGGCGAUCUUUGCCCUUCAUUGUGGCAAAGGGCAGUUAGAAAAAAAAAAAAAAAGAAAACCUUGGCUUGGUUCCAGGUCCAGUAGAUUUUUAUUAUUUUCUGGCCUCAAACUAUCUGCAGAGGGGACAAAAUGCUCUCUCCCCUGUGCUAGAAGCUGUGGUCAGCUGGUCACUGUGCCCCUGGCUGAAGGUGUCAGUUUGGUCCCUGGAGAUCGGGGAUGUGAGUGCUAAAAGGGACCUUAGGGACAUUUUGGUUGGGAUUAAUAACUGGGCCCGCUUCAGCCAACAGCUAUUUGGCUAGCAGAAUAUUUCAAAAACUUUUUCUAAAAAAUUGAGGUUAAAAUCGACAUUACAAAAAAAUAACCAUUUAAAAAUUCAAUGACAUUUCAGCCUAUUGACAAUGGGUACCACCGUCACCACCGUCAGCUUCCAAAUAUUUUAAUCACCCAGUAGGCACCUCUGUCCCCAUCACGCACUUGCCCCGCGACCUGCCACCCACAAUCUGCUUUGUCUUUUCUGGGUAUUUCACACAAACGGAGUCUCUCAGCGCGAGUCCUUCUGCGCCGGCUUCCCUCCCUGGGCAGGAUGUUCCGAGGCUCCUUUUCGGAGGAGGCCACAUUUGGAAAGGUUUCGGAUUCCUCUCUGACAGCCGCGUAGAGAUACAGGGCGCGACAGUCACUCAGGGCAGUGCGCAGCUCUGCGGCUUGCGCUGCGAUGUGCAUCAGAGCGCUUUGUGACGGCAAUUAAAUUGA